rnacentral:rRNA from 1 species
GAUGAACGCUGGCGGCGUGCCUAAUACAUGCCAGUCGAGCGAACGGACGAGACGCUUGCUUCUCUGUUGUUAGCGGCGGGCGGGUGAGUCACACGUGGAUACCCUCCCUAUCAGACUGGGAUCACUUCGGGACACCGGCUCUAAUCCCGUAUAAUCUUUUGAACCGCAUGGUUCAAAAGUAAGAUACGGUCUUGCUGGCCCUUCUAGAUGCAUCCGCGCUGCAUUGGCUGGUUGGUAAGGUAACGGCUUACCAAGGCAACGAUGCAUAGACGACCGGAGGGGGUGAUAGGCCACACGGGAACUGAGACACGGUCCAGACUACUACGGGAGGCAGCAGUAGGGAACCUUACGCAAUGGGCGAAAGCCUGACGGAGCAACGCCGCGUGAGUGACGGAGGCGUUCGGAGCGUAAAACUCUGUUAUGAGGGAAGAACAUAUGUGGAAGGAAAUGUGCACAGAUUGACGGUACCUAAUAAGAAAGCCACGGCUAACUACGUG